rnacentral:lncRNA from 1 species
UAGUAAAAUUGAAAAUGAGUACUUGUACUUUUACUGGAGUAAUAUUUUAUUAUUUUAUCUAUACUUUUACUCACUUAAAAUUGCAAAUGAGUACCUCGAAUUUUACUCAAGUAAUAUUUUAUUAUGGUAUCUGUACUUUUACUCUAGUAAAAUUUAAAAUGAGUACUUGUACUUUUACUAGAGUAAUUUAUUUAGUCUCUCUUAACUCUCUCUCUCUGUGUGUUUUCUUCUGGUAGUUGCUUGCAUCCUCUGACCCGUCAGCAGAGGUGGAUUAUGGGACUUGUUUUCUGUCAGACGCUGCAGUCUCACUGAAAGGCUCCUCCAGAAACUUAUUCUCAGAUCUCCAGAGGAAAGUCAAAAAGAGAAAACACUGAAGAACUGAAGUUGAAUCACUGUGAGACAGACAAUCAAAUGCUCACAUUCACAGGAAGGUUUCAUGUUUUUAAAGCAGUAUUUAAUGACAUUUUAUUUAUUUUCAUAAUUAGUUUUCUUGUACAUUUAGCAGAAUUAUUAAAAAAGUUAAAUAAGCCAUUUAUUUUUCUCAUAAAAGCUGCAAACCACAUGUUAUUUCUUUGGUCUGGUGGUUUUAAAGCAGGCAGCCCAGGGACGCUUAUUUCAUCAAACACAUUAAUGCUUGAUUAUCUGAGAAAGCGACAGUUUUCACGCAGAUGCUGGAUGUCAGAGGAGCGCGUGUGUUUGUUUAAUCCUCCACUCUGUGAAAAUCCUCUUUCCAGUCGCCAUCUACAGAUGAGGAGAGACGGAUGGGCUGUAGGUCUCAGUUCAUGUAGAUUAUCUGACUGUCAGUGACUGAGAAGGGUCUGUCUGCAGACUGCAAGACAGGGGCGUAACUUGAAGUGGGCGUAACUUGACGAAAGAGGCGUAACUUGAAGUUGUCCAAAUCACACAGAACCACGCGAGAUGUCAAAACGAGAUUUUGUCGGGCUGCGUUCGAAACCGCAUACCCUUUAAUUAGGCACUUAAUUUCAAUAAGAACUAAUUUAACGAGCGAUAAAAGAGUACAUACUCUACAGCCUGAAUGCGUAUUUGUGUAUGAAGCAUUAAUGCGAUUUGGAUAUCAUCUUCCGCUAUGUUGAUCAUGUGACCUACAAAGUUAAAACGAGCGUAAAAACUUAAAAGAUAUGAGUGAAAGGUUUAAUGAAUGUAUUUGUAUCUUGAUAAUGAAGAUUGUAGUAUAGCCAAUACUGUUAAUUUAAGUUUUUAUAUUUUUAACUCCACUAAUGUGAUUUUUUUAUAGAAUUAGAAAACCCAAAAUCGUUAUCUCUAGAAUAUUUUUUCAAUUAUUUUAUGUGACUUGAAACGAGCAGAAGAACACAUGCGGGACAAUCUGACUGCUGCUGUGUCUGCUCCAAACAAUCGUGUGCUGCUCUCCAUGAGCACCACUACCUGUAAAACAUUUACACAGAGUUUACAAGUACAUGCAUUGAUUUAUUACUUUUGUAGUGUGCUAAACCACUGAACUGGUUCAAAACUGUGCUUGAGCACGGCUCUUUUCUCCAGCUUGAUCAGAGGAUUGUAGGCCUCUGUAAUAAGAGCACUGUCAAUCACUUCAGAUAAAAGCUCCAUCACAUUUUUACCAAAAUCAAAUCCUCAGUGUCUUUUGGUGUUUCUCUAGAUGCUCUCACUGCUCUGGGGUCACUGAUGAUGAAGAGACCACAGCAGCAUCUGGUCCUGAUGAGACAGUAAGAGCUGGAGUGAUGGAGCGUCUCAUCCGUGUCUCUGGACCAUUUCCGGAUGCUGCAGUGGACUUCUCCAUCCUCAGUGCACACACCAGUCUGCAGACAUUUUCAUAACCUACAGAAAUACACACACACAAUACAAAAAGUCAUUACUUUAUUCUUUUGUUUCAGGUUUUUCCUUUUUUCCCCUUUCCUUGCAGGUCCUGCUCCACCACAAAAGAUCUGCAGCAAAUGCACAGAAAACAACAAUAAGAAAAGUGCUGUAAUAACUGUUUGAAAUUACACUAAUUAAAAUGUUUUAUUUAUUUUUGUAGUGUACUUACACAAAUCCUUUGAUGGCAGCAUUCCUUCAUCAGUCACUCUACAGCAGAUAAACAUAAUCUGUUCCUGUAACAUCCAGACAAGAGUCAAGUAACCUCUGUGAUUUAUCUGUGAUAUACAGUACUGCAUCUGCAUGUUGAGUUAGUAACUGAUGUAACUCGCUUUUUAUCCAACACAAAUGUUCCUAAAAUUAUCAAUAUUGCAAAUGGACAAAUAAAAUAGAUAACUAGUGUUUAGUUACUGUAUGUAGAUUUGUUUGUUUACAUGACUUACACUCAUCUAAAGCAGUGUUGACAGUGAAUUCUACAUAAUAGCACACACACAUCACUCAGAUGCCUGUUUCAUGUCUGUUAAAUGUGCUUAUCUGCAAUACUUAUUAAAGACUAUCCUGUCAGAUGAUAAAUAGACAAUUAGUAAUAGUCUUUAAGAUGUAUAUAUGGUUUAUGUAAAUCCACUUUAAAAGAAGUGUACUUAAUGGAGCUCCCCUGUUAGUUAUUCAUUAUAAAACGUGUUUUUACAGCACAAUCACAAAUAUGCUAUAUUAUGUAAGUAACAAACAGGGUUUAGAUUAAGCCAGGAUCAGGCCAUAGCUCAAUUAGUCUUGUCUGUGAAACCGGAGGAUAGCGUCUUUACACCUUUUGCUUAUAUGUUGCUGACUUUACACCUUAGUUUUAAAAGAUUAUUAACUCCAAAAUCAAUAACACUGUAUGAAAAUAACUUGUACUCUUAAAUUUAAAUAAUUAUUUCGUGAAAAAAUAUAUUCUCACCAUUGUAACUCAUUGUAACUCUUUCCAGUUUAACGGCGGUUGGCAUCCAGCUUAUUGGUGCAAUACCGCCCUCUUCUGUCCCGGAGUGUGGAUCAGAUAAUAGGUUUUCCUACUAAAGGUACGCAUCACUCACAUUGUCCCCUACCAUUAAUAUCUACACACACCUUAUGCAUCAAAUCCUGCCUAAAACCCCUGCUUUCCUUAAAAAACGUAAUCAAUAUUCUACUCUGUGCCCUACUGAAAGCAGCCAACAACUUCUCAUUUUGACAUCUCGCGUGAUUCUGUGAGAUUUCGACAACUUCAAGUUACGCCUCCUACUUCAAGUUACGCCUCUUUCAAGUUACGCCCCUGUCUUGCAGUCUGCAGACGUACACGCUUGGAGAGACUGCUUACACUGGCUGCUAGUGAUGCGCUGAGUGUGUGUGUGUGUGUGUGUGUGUGUGUGUGUGUGUGUGUGUGUGUGUGUGUGUGUAUGUAUUUAUAAACUCUGGCUCCGGUUCACGCUCCGAAGUUCCGAUCUGAACCAAAUCAUUUGCAAUAAUCACUUUAAAGGUUCCGAUCCGAGUAAAAAAAAAAAAUUAUUAACCUGCUCCGAAGUUCCAAUCUGAAUCAAAUUAUUCACAAUACGCACUUUGAAAUUCCGAUCUGAACCAAAUGAUUCAUAAUAAGCGCUCUGAAGUUCCGAUCUGAAUGAUUCGCGAUACACGCAUUGAAGUUCCGAUCUGAACCAAAUGAUUCGCGAAAAGCGCUCCGAAGUUCCAAUCUGAAUCAAAUUAUUCACGAUACGCACUUUGAAAUUCCGAUCUGAAACAAAUGAUUCACGAUAAACGCUCUGAAGUUCCGAUCUGAACCAAAUGAUUCGCGUUAAGCGCUCCGAAGUUACGAUCGGAAUCAAAUGAUUCGCAAUAAGCGCUCCGAAGUUCCAAUCUGAAGCAAAUGAUUCGCAAUAAGCGAUUCGAAGUUACUAUCUGAAAUAAUGAUUGGCGAUAAGUGCUCCAAAGUUCCAAUCUUAAGCAAUCUCAAAAUGUGUUUUGUCCAUCGUGAGCCAACGAUUCCAACGACAUAAGACACUUGAGUCUGUGACUAAUGGUUUAGGAGUUAUGAGCGAUUUCGUACACAGUUGCAGGUGCAGAGGGAGAACAGGAUGGGACUGAGCACACAGCCCUGUGCUCCGAGUGAUGGAGGAGCAUGUGCAGGGGCCCAGUCUCACUGUCUGGGGGUGCUCUGUCAGGAAGUCUUGUAUCCAGCUGUAGGCAAACGGAUAUGGCUCGAGUGAGGAUGGUAGUGUGCGAGAUGACAAACAGAUGUGUGUGUAGGAUCAGUUUCUGUGUGCUGUGAACGAUGGUCAGAAUGAAACUUCGGCUGCAGAUGCUGAUUCAGACUCAAACUCAGAAACUUGGGAGUGUUGCGCUGAAGCAUCAGUUUAUCUGACGUCUCCUGUGAGACGUGAGGACUGAUGUUCAGUGGCGUCAGCAGCACACGAGAUCCACAGGGGGGCUGUUUUCAUGAUCUCUGGAGGAUCUAGUGCAGCUUCAAACUCAGUGUCCUGCUUAGAGACACACUCCUAAAACGGAAGAAAGAAAAAAACGAAUGUCCUUUAGCAAGUUUCUGACUCUUUUAAGGGAAUCGUUCAGUCAAAAAUGAAAAUUGUGUCAUUCCGUUAUAACUUUAUAUAGAUAAUAGCCUACUUUUUCAAAGUUUGGGGUCAAAAAUGAUAUUUUUUUCUUUGAAAGAAAAUAAUUUUAUUCAUCAAGGAUGCAUUAAAUUGAUGAAAAGUGCCAGUAAAGACAUUUCUAAUGUUACAAAAGAUUUCUAUUUCAAAUAAAUGCUGUUCUUUUGAACUCUCUAUUCAUCUGUGAAUCCUAAAAAAUAAAACAUAUCACAGUUUCCACAAAAAUAUUGUGAAGCACAACUGUUUUCAACAUUGAUAAUAAUCAGAAAUGUUUCUUGAGCAGCAAAUCAUCAUAUUAGAAUGAUUUCUGAAGAUCAUGUGACACUGAAGACUGGAGUAAUGAUGCUGAAAAUACAGCUGCACAUCACAGAAAUAAAUUACACUUUAACAGAUAUUCACAUAGAAAACAGCUGUUUUAAAUUGCAAUAAUAUUUCACAUUUUUCACAGUGUUUUUUUUCCAAUUAAAUGUUGUUGCUUUUUUUAAAUAGAGUGUGUGUGUGUGUGUGUGUGUGUGUGUGUGUGUGUGUGUGUGUCUUAAAAUAACACUGUAAAUGUCUCUCUCUUCGGGUCACUUGUGUCUUUAAGAGGAUCAUGUGGCCGAACAAACUAACAGACGUGUUUGUCAUGAAUGUGAAUGAAGUUGAGAGCAGCUUUAAUCUCAUGUCUGAUUAAAUGCUGUUUUCUGCUGUAACGACACAUUUCACUGCUUAAAGUCCCGGCUUCGUCCCGUCACCAUGAAUACAUGAGCAUUUACAGUCAUUACUGAC